UCCGCACCGGACUGUCAAUCAAAUUGUAAAAAUCACAAGACCGCUUAACUCUAUGGUUUUGGCUCCAAAUCGAGAAAAUGGCCGCGCCCGCCAUUGAGCUUCAAAACGUGUUUUAGAGACCCACGGAGAGUCAAUGGGUGACGUCACAGUAGCUGUGUCCAUAUUUUUUACAGUCUCUGAUCUUAACCCAAUCUCUCCUGGUCAACACACUUUCCCCUUACGUCACAUCCUUACUAGGGUAGUCUUCCAACUACUCUCGGGAAAGUAAUACAGUGCCUCCUAGUGGUCAGAAUACACUCAACCUGUAACAUCUAUUAUUGAACACAACAAAUUGCAUGGUAUGAAACGGGAAUGAACUAUUUUUUCUUGAUAAAAUCAUUGUUUUCAUAGAACUUACGACCAGAGAUGUUUGCUUAACAACGGUGCGACUAGAACUACAAACCAGAGUGUCUGCAUAAGGACGGUCCAAUUAGAACUACGAAGCAGAGUUUUGCUUGACAACGGCAACCCUGUACUUUGAGUAUUUUUUGUUGCAGCUGGCUAGAGUGUCGCCGGAUUGUGCAGGUAGGCUACGUGCGUUUCGAAUUCAUCAAACUAGUUAGUAUCAUAACGGCCAAUCAUUCGCCAGCGAUAGCUUAGUAUGAAAGCAUGUUUACAUGUCAGUAUUGUGGUCACCAAUGCUUAACGAAGUAUGCGUUUGUUAGGCAUAUGAAAGUACAUGCGAGUCUUCCAACCGCGUUGUUUAAAUGCGCCUUUUUUGAUUGCUCCCGUUCGUUCAGAAACAUGACGCAGUUGGAAUGUCAUGUAUAUCGAGAGCAUAAAGAUAAGAGGAGAGCACAGGUAACUGCAAUCGAGUGUGUAUCUUGUCAUGUAGAAUUUUGCAAUGUUAGAUGCAAUGAUUUAUCCAGUUUAAACUCUCAUUUGAAAUCUCAUAUCGGAGAGGGCAGGGCCGUUUCUUGUCCAUUUCGUCAGUGUGGGAGAACGUUUUCAGUCGUCUCUUCCUUUAUUUCUAAUUUUUCCACAGUACACAAGUCUUGUACAGUAUCCAGUCUUCUGGGCCAUGUAACAGUAGGAACAGAGACGAGACUAACGGCAACCAAUGAACAAGUUGAGGAUGUUUCAGUGUUGGAGGGGAUUUGACUGACGACGUAACGUAAGUGAUGAUAACGAGGGAGACCAAGCAGCGGUGCUGCCAGAGAGAGCAGAUGAAUCCCUUUUCUUGAACAAUUUGGCUUUCUUUUAUUUAAAGUUGCAGGCAAAACUUUUACUGCCAGCAUCAGUCAUACAGUCUAUUAUUGAGGAUUUUCAAGCAGUGCAUGAUAUCAGUCAGUCUCAUUUACUUCAUAAGUUGGACGAAAAGCUGGUAUCAUUGGAUAUCUCUGACCGUGAGAGAGAGAGGUUCUUAAAUCCGAGGAUUUGUUUCGGGCAUGCAACACUGGUACCUUGAAAACUGAUCAAAGACAAAAAACGGUUUUUAAAAAUCAGUUUAGAUACAUUGAGCCAGUCCCACCUUAUCUUGGAAAGAAUGAUAUGGGAUCACAGAGUGGCUUUAGUGAAAACUUCAGUAAAGGCACCCAUUUCUGCAGAUUAUGUACUAGAGCCCGACCGAUAUAUCUAUAAUAUAUUAAUAUAUAUUAUAUAAUAAACAAAAAAAAAAACGAUGAUUAUUUAUCUGUACUUGUCUGCUUGAACGUUGUAAUUGCUAUUUACUACAAUUAUCCAGUAGAGGGAGCUCUAAUACAAGUGUGAACUGCAGCAGCUGACGCGCUACUUCUCUAAUAAGACGUUUGUUACUCGUGCCUCAUCCAAUAUUCUCCACUGCAAGACUUGUCUGCACAGAUUCGGUUGCGGCAAUAAAGGUGAAAAGAAAACAAUUGCAUCAUACAAAGACAGCGUGCAGCACAGCAUGCAGCAUAACAUCGCACACUUCAAUCUCUUUCCUUGGGAUCUUGGUAAGUUAAAUGUUAAAUUUGCUAAAGUAUCGUAACUGUAGCAGCAACACGUGUGCUAUUGACUCUGUGUUUCCUUGAAAAUAGCAUUAGCCACACGUGGCGUUUAAUAUUUUUCAGUUUGCACACUUCAGUUUCUUCCUUUGGGAUUUCAGCGAGUUUAAAUUUGAAAUUUAGCUAAAAUAUCGCCAUUGUAGCAGCAACACGUGUGUUAUUAACUCCGUGUUUCCUUGAAAAUAGCAUUAGCCACACGUGGUAUGUAUAGCUAUUGAGUUUCUCUCAUAUAAAGUUGAAUGUUGCUAUUUGAAAGCGUGAAUCGCACUGUUAUUGUAUCAUACGUGUAUGAAUGUGCUAUGUAACAUGUGUAUGAAUGUGCCAUGUAAUAACCUUGUGUUAAUUUUAAGUAGGCUAUAGCUCAUUCAAGGUGGCUAUUAGUUGAGCCUAUGCACUUAAAUGAAGUUAGCUAAUGCAGUACUGUUAGAAACCAUGCACUAGCGCUUAGCAAGUGCGCUACAUUUGGGUAUAUGAUGUAGCCAUAUCUUCUAUUGUGCAUGACAGUGCAAGAGGGUUAGUUCACAUGCAUUUAAAUGAUUUUACAAUCAACUAAUGAUUUACUUGAUUGUUAAAGGUUUAUUGCCAUGUAUUUAUAUUGAGUUCAUGGUUUAAAAAAUUAUUUGCUAUAGUUACAUCAGAAUCAGAAUCAGAAUCAGAAUCGGGUUUAUUGCCAAGUAGGUUUACACAUACAAGGAAUUUGUUUUGGUCAGGUGGUGCGUAACAGUGAACAUAAAAUAAGAUAAAUAGAGUAAGAUGAACAAUAGUGCAGUAAAAAACAUAACAGA